rnacentral:rRNA from 2 species
GGGCGUAAAGCGUACGUAGGCGGCUUGUUAAGCAAGAUGUGAAAGCCCCGGGCUCAACCUGGGAAUGGCAUUUUGAACUGGCAGGCUCGAGUUCUGAAGAGGGUGGUAGAAUUUCCUGUGUAGCGGUGAAAUGCGUAGAUAUAGGAAGGAAUACCGGUGGCGAAGGCGGCCACCUNGGUCAGAAACUGACGCUGAGGUACGAAAGCGUGGGGAGCNAAACAGGAUUAGAUACCCUGGUAGUCCACGCCGUAAACGAUGUCAACUAGUUGUUCGUGUCAUAAACGAUGUGAGUAACGCAGCUAACGCANCUAAGUUGACCGCCUGGGGAGUACGGCCGCAAGGUUAAAACUCAAAUGAAUUGACGGGGGCCCGCACAAGCGGUGGAGCAUGUGGUUUAAUUCGAUGCAACGCGAAGAACCUUACCAUCCCUUGACAUCNNCAGUGAAUCUUUUAGAGAUAGAAGAGUGCCUUCGGGAACACUGAGACAGGUGCUGCAUGGCUGUCGUCAGCUCGUGUUGUGAGAUGUUGGGUUAAGUCCCGCAACGAGCNNGCAACCCUUAUCCUUAGUUGCCAGCACGUAAAGGUGGGAACUCUGGGGAGACUGCCGGUGAUAAACCGGAGGAAGGUGGGGACGACGUCAAGUCAUCAUGGCCCUUACGGGAUGGGCUACACACGUGCUACAAUGGCGCGUACAAUGGGAAGCUAGCUCGCGAGAGUAUGCGGAUCU